AUUGAACGCUGGCGGCAUGCCUUACACAUGCAAGUCGAACGGCAGCACGGGAGCAAUCCUGGUGGCGAGUGGCGAACGGGUGAGUAAUAUAUCGGAACGUGCCCAGUCGUGGGGGAUAACGUAGCGAAAGCUACGCUAAUACCGCAUACGAUCUAUGGAUGAAAGCGGGGGAUCGCAAGACCUCGCGCGAUUGGAGCGGCCGAUAUCAGAUUAGGUAGUCGGUGAGGUAAAGGCUCACCAAGCCGACGAUCUGUAGCUGGUCUGAGAGGACGACCAGCCACACUGGGACUGAGACACGGCCCAGACUCCUACGGGAGGCAGCAGUGGGGAAUUUUGGACAAUGGGCGCAAGCCUGAUCCAGCAAUGCCGCGUGCAGGAUGAAGGCCUCGGUUGUAACU
rnacentral:rRNA from 1 species